rnacentral:rRNA from 1 species
UACGUAGGGCGCAAGCGUUGUCCGGAAUUAUUGGGCGUAAAGAGCUCGUAGGCGGUCUGUCGCGUCUGCUGUGAAAUCCCGAGGCUCAACCUCGGGCUUGCAGUGGGUACGGGCAGACUAGAGUGCGGUAGGGGAGAAUGGAAUUCCUGGUGUAGCGGUGGAAUGCGCAGAUAUCAGGAGGAACACCGAUGGCGAAGGCAGUUCUCUGGGCCGUAACUGACGCUGAGGAGCGAAAGCGUGGGGAGCGAACAGGAUUAGAUACCCUGGUAGUCCACGCCGUAAACGUUGGGCGCUAGUUGUGGGGACCAUUCCACGGUCUCCGUGACGUAGCUAACGCAUUAAGCGCCCCGCCUGGGGAGUACGGCCGCAAGGCUAAA